CAAAGGUUACAUUAUGAAUUCAUUAGACAUACUUGAUCCCUUUGAGAAUACUUUAAUUUUAUUCUUCAACUAAAGUAUUUUUUUCAUUGUUCAAAGGAGACGUAUGUCGCGUCAUGCGCCGAUAAAGCUUCGGAAGGGCGCACAAUCACAAGUAUCAUGGGGAAGCUGGUGACCCUUCCUUACCAUCCAAAGCAAGGACGACCAUAAGAGAGAGAAAAACCUUUCAAGGACCUUCUGAUAACUGAAGUUAUGAUUGAAGCUGCUACAAACCGGUGCUGGCCGAAGGCAGAAUUGAAGCAGGUCUAGUUGAAAGCGGCUUCGUGGCUUGCACAAGCCCAAUCCAAGUUGGACAAAAUGAAUCAGCCAUCAACACCAGCUACAAUAACAAUAAUCGACACCGAUUGUGAAGAUGAACCUCUCGAAUAGAUAAUAAUAUAAUAGUAGUGACAGAAAAGAUCAUAAAACGUGUCUACAUGUUCAAUUUACUGAUAUCAUAAACAAUAAAUUAGUUAUUGAUUAUAAUUACGGUUUUUAAUUGAAUAAUCAAUCCCUGAAACCUCAAUAUUGUUGAAAAUAUCAAUUGAAAUUUACAAAAUUGCAGAAAUGUAUUUAUAAU